rnacentral:rRNA from 1 species
GGCCUUGACAUACUAAGAACUUUCCAGAGAUGGAUUGGUGCCUUCGGGAACUUAGAUACAGGUGCUGCAUGGCUGUCGUCAGCUCGUGUCGUGAGAUGUUGGGUUAAGUCCCGCAACGAGCGCAACCCUUUUCCUUAUUUGCCAGCGGGUCAUGCCGGGAACUUUAAGGAUACUGCCAGUGACAAACUGGAGGAAGGCGGGGACGACGUCAAGUCAUCAUGGCCCUUACGGCCAGGGCUACACACGUGCUACAAUGGUCGGUACAAAGGGUUGCUACCUCGCGAGAGGAUGCUAAUCUCAAAAAAGCCGAUCGUAGUCCGGAUCGCAGUCUGCAACUCGACUGCGUUAAGUCGGAAUCGCUAGUAAUCGCGGAUCAGAAUGCCGCGGUGAAUACGUUCCCGGGCCUUGUACACACCGCCCGUCACACCAUGGGAGUUUGUUGCACCAGAAGUAGGUAGUCUAACCGCAAGGAGGACGCUUACCACGGUGUGGCCGAUGACUGGGGUGAAGUCGUAACAAGGUAGGCGUAGAUGA